rnacentral:rRNA from 1 species
AGAGUUUGAUCCUGGCUCAGAACGAACGCUGGCGGCAGGCUUAACACAUGCAAGUCGAACGCAUCCUUCGGGGUGAGUGGCAGACGGGUGAGUAACGCGUGGGAACGUGCCCUUCAGUUCGGGAUAACCCAGGGAAACUUGGGCUAAUACCGGAUACGUGCGAGAGCAGAAAGAUUUAUCGCUGAAGGAUCGGCCCGCGUCUGAUUAGCUAGUUGGUGAGGUAAUGGCUCACCAAGGCGACGAUCAGUAGCUGGUCUGAGAGGAUGAUCAGCCACACUGGGACUGAGACACGGCCCAGACUCCUACGGGAGGCAGCAGUGGGGAAUAUUGGACAAUGGGCGCAAGCCUGAUCCAGCCAUGCCGCGUGAGUGAUGAAGGCCUUAGGGUUGUAAAGCUCUUUCGGCGGGGACGAUAAUGACGGUACCCGCAGAAGAAGCCCCGGCUAACUUCGUGCCAGCAGCCGCGGUAAUACGAAGGGGGCUAGCGUUGUUCGGAAUCACUGGGCGUAAAGGGCGCGUAGGCGGCUUUAUAAGUCGGGGGUGAAAGCCUGUGGCUCAACCACAGAAUUGCCUUCGAUACUGUAUGGCUUGAGACCGGAAGAGGUAAGUGGAACUGCGAGUGUAGAGGUGAAAUUCGUAGAUAUUCGCAAGAACACCAGUGGCGAAGGCGGCUUACUGGUCCGGUUCUGACGCUGAGGCGCGAAAGCGUGGGGAGCAAACAGGAUUAGAUACCCUAGUAGUCC